UUCGUUCCAUCUGUCAUCGGUGCCUUCGCGUAGAAGGUGAAACGGGAAUGCGGUGCGGGGAAACGUCCCCAAUGCCGCAGCUGCCCCCGCAACUGUAAGCGGCCAUUCUCGGUCCAACAUGCCACUGAACCUGCAUUGGUUUGGGAAGGCGGACCGGGAGACGACCGCGAGCCAGGAGACCGGCCGAUGACCAAGCUCAACU
rnacentral:ncRNA from 1 species